CCCUACGGGAGGCAGCAGUGGGGAAUCUUAGACAAUGGGCGCAAGCCUGAUCUAGCCAUGCCGCGUGAGUGAUGAAGGUCUUAGGGUCGUAAAGCUCUUUCGCCAGGGAUGAUAAUGACAGUACCUGGUAAAGAAACCCCGGCUAACUCCGUGCCAGCAGCCGCGGUAAUACGGAGGGGGUUAGCGUUGUUCGGAAUUACUGGGCGUAAAGCGUACGUAGGCGGAUCAGAAAGUAUGGGGUGAAAUCCCAGGGCUCAACCCUGGAACUGCCUCUUAAACUCCUGGUCUUGAGUUCGAGAGAGGUGAGUGGAAUUCCAAGUGUAGAGGUGAAAUUCGUAGAUAUUUGGAGGAACACCAGUGGCGAAGGCGGCUCACUGGCUCGAUACUGACGCUGAGGUACGAAAGUGUGGGGAGCAAACAGGAUUAGAUACCCUGGUAGUCCACACCGUAAACGAUGAAUGCCAGUCGUCGGGCAGCAUACUAUUCGGUGACACACCUAACGGAUAAGCAUCCGC
rnacentral:rRNA from 1 species